rnacentral:rRNA from 1 species
ACGUAGGGCGCAAGCGUUGUCCGGAAUUAUUGGGCGUAAAGAGCUUGUAGGUGGCUUGUCGCGUCUGCCGUGGAAACCCGAGGCUCAACCUCGGGCGUGCGGUGGGUACGGGCAGGCUAGAGUGUGGUAGGGGAGACUGGAACUCCUGGUGUAGCGGUGAAAUGCGCAGAUAUCAGGAAGAACACCGAUGGCGAAGGCAGGUCUCUGGGCCAUUACUGACACUGAGAAGCGAAAGCAUGGGGAGCGAACAG